CCGAGUUUACAACUCCCAAACCCCUGUGAACAUACCACUUGUUGCCUCGGCGGAUCAGCCCGCUCCCGGUAAAACGGGACGGCCCGCCAGAGGACCCCUAAACUCUGUUUCUAUAUGUAACUUCUGAGUAAAACCAUAAAUAAAUCA
rnacentral:misc_RNA from 3 species